rnacentral:rRNA from 1 species
GACGAACGCUGGCGGCGCGCCUAACACAUGCCAGUCGAACGAGCGAGCGAGAGCUUGCUUUCUCGAGCGAGUGGCGAACGGGUGAGUAACGCGUGAGGAACCUGCCUCAAAGAGGGGGACAACAGUUGGAAACGACUGCUAAUACCGCAUAAGCCCACGGCUCGGCAUCGAGCAGGGGGAAAAGGAGCAAUCCGCUUUGAGAUGGCCUCGCGUCCGAUUAGCUAGUUGGUGAGGUAACGGCCCACCAAGGCGACGAUCGGUAGCCGGACUGAGAGGUUGAACGGCCACAUUGGGACUGAGACACGGCCCAGACUCCUACGGGAGGCAGCAGUGGGGAAUAUUGCACAAUGGGGGAAACCCUGAUGCAGCGACGCCGCGUGGAGGAAGAAGGUCUUCGGAUUGUAAACUCCUGUUGUUGGGGAAGAUAAUGACGGUACCCAACAAGGAAGUGACGGCUAACUACGUG